UGCAGAAAGGGGGAAAGAGAGAGGGGAAAAUAAAAACAUAGAUUGAAAGUUUGGAAAGUUUUGAGAAAAUAGAACAGUGGCUAUCACUCCUGUAAACAAGGGGCUUUGUUAUCAGAACUCAGGCUUGUGGAAUCCUGCCAGAGGAAAAAAAAAUUCAAGCUAAUGCAAGGAUUGGUGCUUAACUCUUUCCUGGCUUACUAAAGAAAAGAAGUUUAAAUGGAACAUCUAGAUUUUGGUCACAUUACAACUAUAUUGACCUGCUUUUGGGAUCUAAAUCAGCCCAUUGAUCUUUGUCAGCACACCAUACCCAUCCCCCUGCUUGGACUGAGAGCCAGUUCUCCAUCCCUUAUCAGCAUGAAGCAGUUUUUGAAUGAGAGACCGUUGCCCCUGCCUCUGACGGACUGAUAUGGGGGACUUGGAAUGGUUGAUGAAUGACGGUUAAACCCGGACUUGGUCAUCUAUUACUGUGUGUUUAAGAAUUGGGAUGGAAAUUGUUAAAAUUGGUAACUGUUGCUGUUAAGGAAGUUAUAAUAUGCUUAUCUAUGUUUACUUCAGAAUAUGUAACUGUUUGAGGAAUUUUUUUUAGGACACUCCUCUUGUACUAAUUUGUUAUGUACAGAACUUUACUUCACUCUUGGGAUUUAUGUGUGGGAUGGUUAUUUGACUAUUUACUUUUUUUUUUUUUUUUGGAUGGUUCCUUUCCAUGAGAAAAAAAAGAGAGGAAAAGAUAGGUAACUAGGGAAACUGGUGGAUUUUUCUCAAAAUACCUAAAAGAGUGGGAAACUCUUAGUUUUCUGUUCACUUUGCCUUAGGUAUUUUGCCCCACACCCCUAUCUCACCAGUUCAGAUUGAAUCGGAAGUCCUUAAGCAGUCCUUUUUUGUUUUUAACCAUGCUUUAGCUUUGAAACCCCUUAUUCUGUGGAAUUGCCCUGGCAGACUCAGUUUCUGGGACUAUUUUUUUUUUUUUUUUUUAGGAAUAACUAGAAAUUAUACACUUUGGGACUUGGCAGUCUCCAGCCCUGUAACCCCAGUUUCUUAAUUGGUAUCUCAGCAUUCUCUUAUUUGUUUUGUGAUUUGAUUUAUCUAAAUCUGAGAGUGCAAGAUCGAGAUCUCCCGCUAUUAUAGUUUUGCUGUCUAUUUCUUCUCGUAACUCUCUUAACUUCUCCUUUAAGAAGUUAGAUGCUAUACCACUUAGUGCAUAUAUGUUUAAUACUGAUAUUGCUUCAUUGUCUAUAGUACCUUUUAGCAAGAUAUAGUUUCCUUCCUUAUCUCUUUUAAUUAGAUCAAUUUUUGCUUUUGCUUGAUCUGAGAUAAGGAUGGCUACCCCUGCUUUUUUGACUUCACCUGACGCAUAAUAGAUUCUGCUCUAGCCUUUUAUCUUUACUCUGUAUGUAUUUCCCUGUUUUAAAUGUGUUUCCUGUAAACAACAUAUUAUAGGGUUCUGACUUUUCAUCCAGUCUGCUAUCCGCCUCCUCUUUAUGGGGGAGUUCAUCCCAUUCACAUUUACGGUUAAAAUUACUAAUUUGGUAUCUCAGCAUUCUCAAGGGACAUUGCAGUUUUGAGAUCAACCCUCUAUAGUUCAGGGUUUGCCGGCCUUCAUGGUCUAACUGUGCAUAUCUGCCCAGAAAUCCUUUCUGGAUCCCAGUAGGUGCUCUUGUUCUAUCAGAGGGAACAGGUGGAGAUACUCCAAGCCCCACUCUCUCCCUCCUUUGAAAUCCCUGACAGACUUGGGGUGCCCCUCCUAGCAUAGGCAGCAUGACUGUUUUGAGUACUGCUACUCCCUAUAUAAGCAGAAGCUGAGUUAAGUGCACAAAUGACUGAAGACCACCUAACAGUGAACUGUCCAUCUCAAACUGGAUUCUCUAGCUGAUAUGAGGGCCUUUGUACUGCUGAUAAUUCUGGGGUUAUCAGGAAGAGACUUGCCCUUGCCAUAAGUCCUUGCAUUUUCUAGUUUCAUUUUGAUUUAUUUGCUUCACAUCGGGUUGGCCAAAAUUAUGGUGAUGAGAUCUCCCAAGUGUCUAGGGGAGGUAAUUCAAUAAUUCAAAUUUUCAGAAGGAGAGUGUGUAAUGUUGUGCCUCAGUUUCCCUAGAUUGUCGUCUUUGUUAAUUUAUCUUUGUAUUUUUAUGUCUGUCAAAUGCCAAUCUAUUCUGUGAUAACUGUUUCCAAGACAAGUGGUGGAAGCAAUUUUUAUAGUAUGAAUUUAUUGCAAUCAGUGGUAUUAUCCUGUUGCCAUUAUAUCUACCCUGUAUAAUUACAUUAGUAACCAGAAUAAUUCAAUGGAGCCUACCAAAAUAUUGCAUACAGAAGAUACUAUUAAAAUGAUGAUUCUUUAGAGAAAAAGCUGGAAUAUAUUAGAGAGGGAUGAUCUUGAUGGUGAACUUGAUAAACAAUAUAUAGAUAUGUUAGCUGAUUUUGAACAGUGUGUAAGUUCUUCAUAGAAAUAUGAUGUUACAAGGCAGGAACUGUGUGGAAUAGAAAAAUAAAGUCAAGAACUUACAGGAAUGUAUGAAUUCUUUUUCUGCAUUUUAUUUUCAUUAUUUCUGUGUUUUCCCUAUGAUCUAUAUAAUAUGUGCAGGUCCAUUUUUACUUGAACCUUGGCCAGCUAUAACCAUAUUUACUUAACCUGAG
ensembl:lncRNA